CGGGUGAGUAAUGUAUAGGAACUUGCCUAGUAGUGGGGGAUAACGUGUGGAAACGCACGCUAAUACCGCAUACGCUCUACGGAGGAAAGCGGGGGAUCUUCGGACCUCGUGCUACUAGAUGGGCCUAUAUCAGAUUAGCUAGUUGGUAAGGUAAUGGCUUACCAAGGCGACGAUCUGUAGCUGGUUUGAGAAAAUGAUCAGCCACACUGGGACUGAGACACGGCCCAG
rnacentral:rRNA from 1 species